rnacentral:lncRNA from 1 species
UUGGGCAUGUUGCCUUUGUUGUUGGUGGUGGAGGGCAUGGUUUUCCUUUAGGGGAUGGUGUAAUAACUGGUGGAACUGUCACGGGUGGAAUUCCGAUAGGUGGCAAGUUAAUAGGAGGUUUUACAAUAGGUGGUAAACCAAUUGGUGGCUUCAGAACUGGUGGAACUGUCACUGGUGGAAUUCCGAUAGGUGGCUUAAUAACGGGUGGAACGACGGGCGGCAAGUUGAUGGGAGGUUUUACAACUGGUGGAACUGUAACUGGUGGAAUUCCGAUAGGUGGCUUAAUAACUGGUGGAACAACUGGUGGCAAGUUGAUGGGAGGUUUUACAACUGGUGGAACUGUCACUGGUGGAAUUCCGAUGGGCGGCUUAAUAACUGGUGGAACAACAGGUGGCAAGUUGAUAGGUGGUUUUACAAUCGGUGGAAUUCCAAUGGGUGGCAAGUUGAUAGGGGGUUUAAUACUUGGAGAGGGAGUUUUGGGUUUUUUGGGUUUGUGAGAGGGUUUUCCACAAUAUCCACAACCAAGAAUGGGAGUGAAUGAAGAAAGGAAAAGCAUGGAAAUGAAAAGAAGACAUGUUAUUUUAGAUGACUCCAUUUUCCUAUGAGGAAAGAGGGAAUAGGUUGAGAUUUUGGUACAAAGAGUAUGGUGUUAUAUAGAUAUGAAAGUGAAUUGAUGAUUGGUGAAUGCAAACAAAAUAAACCCUAAAACCAAUGCACGUGAACAAGGGGUCUAUAUGGCCAAUUUUUGCUAGUUGGCAACUCAAUUGUCUUGCAUGUGCAUGAAUCUGUAUUAGUACUUUUACUUAAUCUUGAUUAUUAUGUCUAAUCAUGAUUACUCAUGUCAACUUAACAAGGAAGCUCAAUAGCUUCACUUGCCAUCUAUGGGAGGCUCGCUCUGGGAAAGUUCGAAUCAUUUAGAGCAGGGGCGGAUGCACGUAUAACGAAGCGGUCUCACGUGAUAUCGCUUCGUCGGAAAUUUUUACUAAAUAUAUGUAUUAAUAUAGUGAGGAAAUGACUAAGUAGGAUAAAAUGACACUCUUGAUAUAAAUUAUCUCUUUGUGUGUUGGUUAUGUGCUUGAUUUUGUUUUAAGAGGGUCAAAGGUUCGAACCUCAACAAGUAUAUAUUUUUUUUGUUAUAAAUAUUUGAGAUAGCCUCUAGUUAAAAGUUAUGAUAAUGAAGUAGAAUUGAACUCGGGGACCUUUUCUAACUUAAGACUCAAGAAAACAAAUAGAUUAAGGCUAUUUCUUGUUUAGAAAUAUGAUAAUACAAGUUAUUAUUCCCGUUCUUCUAUAAAUUGUCAACCGCUUAUAAAAUUUUCUACGUACGCCCCUGAUUUAGAGUACAUGCAAAGAGAGAUUCUGAAUUUAAAGUUUAUCAGUUUUUUUAGCGAUUUCAAGUUUAUAUUAUAAUAAAAUAUGAUUACACAGUCAAAUAUUUAUAGGUACUUAGUGAACUUAUGUAUACAAUUUAAGCAAAAAUUAUCGAGUUCACGUGAAUCCAUAACUUGCACAUUGAAUCUGCCCCUGAAUACAUGGGCAACUCCAUGAAGGAAGGAAUUGAGUUAUGAACGUUUUCAUAUGAGUCUUUUAAUUUCCUGUAUUUAUUCGAUAAAAAAUGCAGCCAAUGAAUGUUAAUCUUUGAUCUAAGUCAAUUUUAAUACAAUAUCUCUGUGGACAAUAUUAAGUAUAUAAAUUAUGUAAAAAUUGGAGCGUUAUACAUAUAGUUGAUACAAAAACCAGACAAAUGAACUUCCUGGCUAGAGCUAUCCCAUAACUUAUGCUUCAAAAAAAUUUAUUGACAGGAAAUCCAUGUUACAAGUUGCAGGAUAGAACAAAUCUUCCAUUUGCACACAACAAAAGAAGGUAUUUUUAAUAAAAUAGUACUCCUAGACCCUAGUAAGAAUUAUGGAAAAGUGACAAAAUCCAAUUAAUACUAGCCAAUUUACAAGUGAGAACUAUGGCGUUGCAUGCAGAGGCGAAGCCAUAAUUUGAACCUUAUGGGUUUGGGAUUAUAAUCCUUUUAAGUUAUUGGGUUCUAAAUUAAUAAUGUAUAUAUAUUCAAUUAAUUUCUUAAGAUAAAUACAUGGUUUGAAUAAAAGUUAUUGGGUUCGAUUGAACCCGCAUCCCACGCUCUGGCUCCAUUGCUGCUUGCAUGAAAAGGAAAAACUUUUAUUUUCCUUGUAUAUAUUUAAGUUUUGACGGAUAAAGUUACUAUCAGUAUUUAUGCUGAUAGGAAAUCAUCAUAGGCGGAUUCAAUAUUUAAACUUGAUGGUUACGGCCCGCAAAAUUUCACCUUUGGCCUAUUGCAAUUUUGAAAUUAUGUAUUCAAAUUUUAAUAUUUUUUGAAAUAUUAGUAAUUCUGAAUAAUAUAUUUACUCAAUGUCGAAAAUGUUAGUUUUGGAUUCGCCUCUAGAGAGGUAGCUGGAUUAUAUUCGAUAAAUCAAUCAAGAUACACGCAAGCGAAUCUGGACACCACUAUUAUCUUAUUUAUAAAUAAGUAUUUAUCCCUUGUGAUCUUUUUACUUGACUCCCCCAAUAUCCCCACUUAGCUCCAUGGGUAUAGCUAGGGAUAUUGGUAUAGUAUGGGAAUUCAUUUGUAGUAAAAUUAUUGAGUCUGACGUACGUGCAUAGGUUGAUAUGUCUGUCAAUUUCUCUGUGUAAUCCUAUACCUAGGCUGAUCAGAAAUUCCCACAAUCAUUUUCACCUUUGGUCAAAAGUUAUAAUUGUCACCUUUGACAGAAGCCUAUUGAUAUGAAAUAUCAAGCCUACCUAAAUUACCCUUGACCAAGGUUUUCGGGUUCGAAUUUUGGAUAUAAAUUCACCUCUGUUUAGAGAGCUUUACCCUUUAAUAUAGGACUUUCUGAUACGAAUUCUGUUGUGGAAGAUCAAGGGCUAACUAGCACACAAUCACACACAAAGCAAAUAGAGAACAAAAAGCAACACAAGGAUUUAACGAUGUUUGGCUAAGCCUAAUCAUCGGGGCAGAAGCAGAGAGAGUUUUUCAUUAUGAAUGAGAAGAAAAGAACAAUACAAUCUAUAGAAUCCCCAACUACAACCCCUAUAGAUAGAUCCCAAAUAGUCCCAAACCUAUAAGAGAAAGAUUUCCCAAUUUAAUAAGAACAAUAGCUUUUCUUUCCCAAAUCUAUUAGGACAAUGGGUUUUCUUAAACCUAUAGGGAUUAUGAGUUUCCUAAAAAUAUAAGGAAAUAAUUCAAUCCAUAAAUAACAAAUCUUCUCCUUGGCUUGAAUUCUCUUCAUCAAUAGGAACAAUGUCUCUCUACCUUGCCUUCAUCCCUUGCAAGGGCUCUACUCAUUGCCGCACACAUCAACCAAGUCUAGGCAACGCCUAAACUUAUUAAAAGACUCAAUCUCUUUAGCCAUAGCACUAAUCCGUCUAUUUGGUUCUGUAUUCUGAAUAGUUUCUGGGUAAUUAUAACACUCAAACGCAUCAACGGCCUCUACAACUGCAAAUCCCACAAGAUUUGUAUAUCCAAGAAGAUUUCUAUCAACUACGUUUGUAAAUAUUUGCUAUCAGUCGAUCAGCCUCUUCUCUCUACCUGUUGCAAUGCUAUAUGGUUGCUGUUGUGCAGGUGCAUCAACAUUAUCAUCUUGAUCAAUAUUUUGCACAUUCUCCACUUCCUAUACUUUAGAACUAAUAGGAUGAGCUAGUGAAGAUUCAAUUUCUACCUCUAUGCGGUUACUGACACCAUGAUCUGUUUCUGCUAUUACCUUCUCCCUCGGACUAUCUAGUGAGGCAAAUUCAUUAAAUGUUACAUCCCUACUAAUAAUUAGCCCUGGAGUCUUUUGAUUUGUGCACCACAAUCUAUAACCUUUCACUCCAGUUGCAUACCCUAGAAAUAUGUACUUUUUUGCCCUCGGCUCAAGUUUUUCAUCCCUCACAUGAGCAUAAGCAGAACAACUAAAUAUCCUUAAAUUUGAAUAAUUAGCAGGCGAACCGGAUCAUACCUCAAAAGGAGUUUUGAAAUUAAUUACUGUGGAUGGAGAGUUGUUGACCAAAUAACAAGUUGUAUUGAUUUCUUCAGCACAAAAAUCCUUGCUAACGCAUGAGUGUGAAUACAUGCUUCGCGCCCUAUCACAAAGAGUUAUGUUCAUAUUUUUUGCAAUACCAUUUUGUGGUGGUGUUCCGACACAAGUGCGGUGUCUCACUAUGCCCUCUGUGCUACAAAAAUUAUCGAACUCAGAAUUGCAAAACUCUAUCCCAUUGUCAGUUCGAAGACGCUUAACUUUUCUUUCCGUCUGCCUCUUAACCAUUGUCUUCUAUUUAACAAAUGUUGGAAAUGUCUCUGUGACGACCCGGUCAGUCGUCUCAUGAGUUACCGCUUUGUUUCCCCUAUUUCUGCUUCAUAUUGCUUUGUUUAUCAGUUCUAUAUGUGAUCAGGUUGGUUGACUCGGGUUCGAAAAGGGUUUGAGAAGGUUUGAGGCACUUAGUCUCUUUUGAGGAAGUUUAAGUUGGAAAAGUCAAACGGAUGUUGACUUAUGUGUUAGAAGGCUCGGAUGUGAGUUCCAAUGGUUCGGAUAGCUUCGGGAGGUGAUUAGGGACUUAGGAACGUGAUCGGAAUGUGUUUUGGAGGUUCGGAGUAGAUUUAGGUUUGAAUUGGCGAUAUUGAAUUUUUGGCAUUUUCUGGUUGGUAGGUGAGAUUUUGAUAUAGGGGUCGGAAUGGAAUUCCGAGAGUUGCAGUAGUUUUGUUGGGUCAUUUGGGAUGUGUUUGCAAAAUUUCAGGUCAUUCGGACGUGGUUUGGUUGGGUUUUUUUAUCAAAAGCGUAAUUUAGAAGAUUUUGGAAUUCUUAGGCUUGAAUCUGAUACAAAUUUGGUGUUUUUAUGUUGAUUUGAGCGUUUCGAAGGUUAGGACGAGUUUGAAUAAGGUUAUAGGAUAGGUUUGUGUUUUUGGUUGAGGUCCCGGGGGCCUCAAGGUGAUUUCGGAUGAUUGACGGAGAGAUUGAGAGUUUGGUGAAGCUACAGAUUUUGCUUUUCUGUUGUUUCUGCACCUGCGGAUUGGGGACCACUUCUCCGCCUCUCACCCUCGUUCUCUCCAUCCCCGUCGUUUCUCUCACUCUUUUCUCAGUCACUGUCGUGCGCCAUACCCACCUCAAGAACACCACCACCAACCUCCCUUCACCCUCGUUCUCUUCAGAAUAUUAUUGUUUCGGAACUUUGCUUUUGUUUUACAUAUUUCAAGGUCCGUUUCUGCUUCGCUUACUUCUCCAAUCCGCAAUUUAAUUAGUUCAUGUGAAUGUUGCAUUGGUUGAUUUGUUUGUCUAAUUUUAAUGAAUAUGCAUAUAUCCUAUUGAAGUAUUCUCUGUGUUCGAUCUCAAAAUUGAAGUUGCUGGCUUGGAGUUUGAUUGUAAAUCAAAGAACCAUUGAAUUAGGCAUCUAGAACGGUGCUAUUUAAUAGGUCGCGGGAUUGAUCUCUAAAAAGAGAACAAGCAUGGGUUUGGGGUAGAACGUUGAACUGUUAGGUUAUAGAUAAUUUUCUAACUUUAAUUUCUAUUUAUCUAUUUGGGGUCGCUAGUAACAUGCUUAGGCCGUCAUCAUUUGGGUAGGCAAACUUUUAGGACGUUCGUAUUUUAAUUUCUUUUGAGGCGAAAGGUCGCACUCUUUAGUUAAAUUUAUCCGGGGAAUGCCCCGAAGUAUUUAUACAUAUUUUAUUCCGAGGAAUGCCCCGUAGUAUUCUGUAAUUGGAGAGGCCGUGGGAAUAUCGUAGCAGAAAUAGCGUAGGAUAAUUCGAAACUUUAAUUUUCCUUUUAAUCUUCUUUCAUUUAGGUGGGGACGACCUCGAGCCUCUUUUGUAUUUAUUUUUCUUUUAUGUGAUUUUACCUCAAUUUGAAUAUUUUAAAAGACAACUAGGUUAAGUACGCAACCGUACUAGUUACGGAACUCGAGGAAUGUCUAACACCUUCUCCCCGAGUCAAAUUAAUCCCCUUACCCGAAUCUCUGGUGCAGACUUAGUUUUGGAGUCUCAAGUGUUUUCAAAGGAAAAAAUUAUUUUUAUAAAAAACGGUAACUUCGCACACCGAAACCAAUGUUAGGUGACGACUCUGAGUUAUUUCCUUUUGAAUAUAAUUUUAUCACUUUUAUAUUAAAAACCCUUUUGAGCUUUACAAAUCCUUUUUAUUAUUUAAAGAGGGUUUAGUGAAGUUUGUAAAAAAAUGGGUGUGACAGCUCUGGCGACUCUGCUGGGGAGUUGCAGGUUCGAGCUGGUACUUGAUCUUGUUGGCUUUUAGGAUUUUCGGUUGAGGUGUUUGUUUUCUUUAUUUGCUUUGUUUGUCUUAUUUCCUUGUUUUGUUAGUUAUUUGUUUAUCGCUUUUCUUAAGGUGUUACUGCUUUAUAAACUGUCUUCAUUUGCAUAACCAUGGGUAUUCUUUCUGCAACAAGUCUCGGAGUACGCGUCGCGUGCACAAACUAUUUGUUGAGUCAACGUUAGUUUAGGAGGGGGGCCGUCGGACGUAUGGACUGGGUGGAAAGAUUGAGCAGCCAUCAUCGACCAUACGCUCCCCCCGAAUUGCAUUGUUAGUGAACCCCAAACUUAGGUCAGCCUUUUGGUCAUUUUUAUUUGCAUCAUGUUAUUUAGAUCUAGCAGGGCUCGGUCCCAGGUACCGUGCCCUUUGUAGGAGGCCUAUCCAAAUUUUGUCAAAAUGGGCUUGUGGCCCAAAAAGACAUUCAAUCAUCCCUAUGUGAUACAUGUUGCAUCUUUGACGGUAAGAAGGUCAUUUGGCGGACCGAUGUUUGGGAAAGAAGGGUGAAAAAUGAAGCAAGUAGGGCCUAGUUAUAUUUUUCUUUCACAACUUUUUCAAAAAAAGGACCAAAAAAAUUGAUGAAAAUGAAAAAAAAUCCAAAAAAAAAAGAUUUUACACUUUCCCAUCAUUUUCCAAAAAAAAUCAAAAAAAAAAGAAAAGAAAAAGAGAAUCCAAAAAGAUUUUAUAUUUUCCAUCAUUUUUCAAAAAGACAAAAAAAAAUAUUUUUUCCAAAUUAGUGUCAUUUUUUAAGUUUUCUCCCAUAUCCAAUCUUCUCGAACUACGUAUACCUUAUUCUCGUCUUUCGGUGCAGGUUAGGCAUCGUAGAUGCGGAGUCUGAGUGGCUUAAGUGAAAAUCGUAGAAGCGGUUCAAGGACCGCAAAAACGAUACCGCAGAAGCGGUAGAAGGGGCCGCAGAUGCGAAAUGCAUGGGCCAGAAGGUAUAAAUUAUUUCCUUCGCGAUUUUUUAGUUAUUCCACCUUUCUAAGUCGGCUUUUGCAGCUUUUUGGGCGAUUCGAAGAAGGAGUUCAAGGAGAUUUCAUUGAGGUAAGGAUUUUGGACCUAAAACUCAUUCCUAUGGUAUCAUUUCAUGGAUUACAGUCGUAAUCAUGGAAAUUAAGGGUUAAAAUUUGGAAAACUAGGCUUGGUAUUAAAGACCUAGACUUGAGGAUUUGAGGGGUCAUUUGUGGUCGGAUUCUAGGACUUUUUAUAUGUAUGAACUCAUGGGGAGAUAAGGAAUCUAUUGAUUUAAAUUUUAUCGAAUUUCGAGACGUGAUCCCGGGGUUGGGUUUUGGUUAAUUUCGAGAUUUAUGUUGUAAAUUGAUUAUUUUCGAUGGGCUUCGUUCCCUUAGCAUAUUUUGACGUCGUGAUUCUGAUUUUGGAUAGAUUCGACGUGAGUGGAGGCCGAUUCGAGGGGCAAAGGCAUUGCGUGUUAGAUUUGGGCCGGAUUGAGGUGAGUAAUGAUUGUAAAUGUUGUCCUGAGGGUAUGAAACCCCGGAUUGUACAUUGUUAUGCUAUAUUGAGGUGGUGCACAUGCUAGAUGACGAGCGUGGAAUCGUGCACUGUUGGGUACUGUGACUUAGUCCGUCCCGAAUGACUAUUUUACCGCAUAUUUGAUUGAGAAACGAUUUGCUAUCAUCAUGUUUCGGGCUGAAUGCCAUAUUUGGGCCGUGUGCCAACUAUUUGAACCCUUAAGGGAUUUUUACUGAUAUUUCCUCAUUAUUUUGACUUUAUACUUGUACUCAAUCAUGUUAUAUUCUACUAUUUUCAUAACUCGGCCAUGUCUACUCUGCUUUAACACUUAAAAUGAUAUUUUAAAUGAUAUUUUGGGCUGAGCAUCAUGUUUUACUAUUGCCCGAGUGGCUUGUGAGAAUUUUGACUAAGUAAGGCCGAGGGCCUAUGUUGUGAGGAAACACUUGAUUAUGAUUACGAGGCCGAGGGCCUGAGAUUUGUACGCCACGAGGUGGCUUGUUGAUAUGAGGCCAAGAGCCUAUGUGAUUAUGACACGAGAUGGCUUGAUAUUGUGCUUGGGCCAUAAGGAGCCCCUCCAGGAGUCUGCACACCCCCAGUGAGCGCGGGUACCCAUUGUGAUUUGAGAUAUAGCCCGAGGGGCUGAUGUUGUUCCAUGUGUUGCCCGAGGGGCUGAUUAUAUUGGUAUUGUGCCCGAGGGGCGGUUCUUUAUAUGUUUAUCUUUCCUAAUUGAUCGUCAUUUACUUGUUUAACUAUUAAAAAGGCAUUCCAAAGAAGUUUUAACUGAACUAAAGUGAUUUUUUCUAUUUUUCACUAUUUCAUUGUUUUUAUUGAUUUUUACUGCUUCUUUAUAGUCUAUUGAUGUGUCUUUACGUGGUUUCUUAUUACUCAGUCUGCAUUUAUUAUUAUUACUCACUGAGUUGGAGUACUCACUUUACUCCCUGCAUCCCGUGUGCAGAUUCAGGUGCAUCAGGUCCUGCUGGCGAGGGUUGAGAGCUUCCAGCAGAAUCCGGAGUUCACGAGGUAGUUGCUCAACGUUCGCAGCCCCGUGUCUCUCCCCCUUUCUCAUUUUUUUUCUCUUAUUAGUAUUCUGUAAUAAUUUGAGUAGAACCUUUCAGACUUGUAGUAUUAUUAUAGAUGCUUAUGACUGGUGACACCCUGAUGUCAGGCUGUGUUGGUUUUAAUUCCGCAAAUUGUACUGUUCACUACUUAUUUGGGGAUUUUAUCAUGUUUAAAGACUUAAUACUUAUUACUUUAAUUGCUUAAAAUGAAGUGGGAAUGUGUCGGUAGGCCUUAUCUUCACGAGAGGCGCCAUCACGAUUGGGUCCGAGUUUAGGGUCGUGAUAGUCUCAUCUUUUUUUUUAGAAAAUACACUCACAUCAUCCUUGAGUAAUCAUCAAUCAAAGUCAUAAAAUAUCUGGCAUCACUCUGGGAGGGAACUUUGUUUGGACCCCACAAGUAUGAAUAUAUAUAAUCUAACUUGUCUCUGGUCUUAUGCCACUACUAGAAAUUUAGCAAAAACCGACCAACAAAAAUCGACCAACUUUGGUCGGUCAAAAACCGGCCAAACCAAAAACCGACCAAAGUUAGUCAGUUUUUUAAAAUUUUUUAAUUUUUAAUUUUUUUUUAUGAAACCGACCAACUUUGGUCGGUUUUUUUUUGGCCAAAAAAUGCGAGAAACUAUUUUUGAGUCCCGCAAAAUUUAUUUUUUAAGAAAUUGACCAACUUUGAUUGGUUUUUUCAAUUAAAAUAAAUAAAAAUAAAUAUUAAAAACCCGACCAACUUUGGUCGUUUAUUUUCGUGCGAAAAUAUAAUUAAAGAGUAUAAAUAAAAAAUAAGACAAUAUUAAAACAAAAUGCACCAAUGGUCUAGUGGUAGAAUAGGAUUUUGUCACAGUAUACACCCCGGUUCGAUUCCUAGAUGGUGAAACUUUUGAUUACAUAAUUAAAAUACCGACCAACUUUGGUCGGAAAAUAUCGAUCAACUUUGGUCGAUUUUUUUUGCAAUAUUAUUUUUCUAAAUUUAAUUGACCGACCAACGUUGGUCGGUAUAUUAAAACGACCAUCAAAAUACCGUCCAAGCGCAUUUGAUCGCGUUUUGAUCGGUAAUUGGCCAUAACCGACCAAAGUUGGUCGGUUUUUUUGGUCGGUAUUUACCGGAUUUCUAGUAGUGCUCGGUCUUCUUGUUGAAUUUUACUCUUGUAUGUUUACCAAACACACAAUGCUCACAAAAACUUAAAACUUAUUUUUUGUACCCAUUUAGCAAAUUCUACUUACUCAACAAAGACAAUCUCUUAUCACACAUAUGACCAAGUCACAAGUGCUACAAUUGAGACUAAUUCAGAUCACUUUUCCCAAAAGGUACAGUAGCUUCCCCUUCAACUACACUGGUCUGAAGAUGAUACAAUUUAUAAUGUAGUUUACCCUUCAUGAAUACCAUGGAGCUCUUUACACACUUUAAGUAUUCCAUUCUCGGAGUAAAACUUAUACCCUUGAUAAUCAAAUGUCGAAAGAGAGAUCAAAUUUCUCUUUAUCUGAGGAACAUGCCAACACUCAAUCUUUCUGAUAAUUCCAUCAAACAUUCUCAAUUUGAUGUUACCAAUACCCUGUACGGGUAAUGGAUUAUCAUCUCCCAUGUAGACAGUUCCACUCAUUUGCUUGUAAGUUGCAAGCCAAUUCUUGUGUGGACACAUGUAAAAAGUAGCACCAGAAUCAAGAACCCAAAAAUUCUACCUAUGUCUAGAACUCACAGUACAGACUUCCCCUACAUAGUCACUAUCAUCAGAAUUAUUUCCAGUGUCAAUAAUAUUUGCCAAAUUAUCUAUUUUCUGCUUCUCUCUUUUCUCCUUCAGCUUAGGACAAUGUCUCUUGUAGUGACCUUGCUCCCUGCACUCAUAACAGUUCUGCUUCCUUGCCCUAGACUUCGAUUUGGCGGUUGACGUUUUCCUGUUAAAGUCAUUUUGUUGUUUUCUUCCUCUACUCAUAAGACUUUCACCCUUAAUUCUGCUAUCUAGAAAGCUCUUUUUCAACUCUUUAGAUUCUAAUGCAUUACUAACAUCUUUCAGUGAAAUACUGUCUUUCCCAUAUAGCAGAUUAUCAGCAAAAGUAUCAUAAGACGGUGGUAAAGAACAUAAGACUAUCAAUGCCUGAUCCUCACUCUCAAUUUUGAUAUCCACGUUCUUCAGGUCCAUUAUAAUUGAAUUAAACUCAUCAAUGUGAGUUUUAACAGGUGUGCCUUCAUUCAUACGAAGAUUGUAUAACCUCUUUUUAGGUAGAAGCAAUUUGUCAACGAUUUCUUAAAAUACAAAUCUUCCAGCUUCUUCCAUGCCAUUGCUGCAGAAGUUUCUUCAGCAAUUUCCCGAGGAACGCUACCUGUAACGCUCAUGAAGAUCGCACUCAAAGCCCUCUCCUUCAGGUCUGCCUUCUCUGUCUCUUUCAUCUCUUCAGAAAAAUCUUCAUCAAUUGCCUUCAAUAACCCUUGUAAUACCAAGGACGAUUUCAUCCUAAUCUUCCAUAGACUGAAACUAGAACCCCGGUCAAAUUUCUCUCUUCGUACUUUUUUAAAGAUAAUGAAGACAUAUUAACUCUAGAUUAUAUGUAGAAACCUGAACCUUGCUCUGAUACUAAUUGUUGCAGAAGAUCGUGGGUUAACUAGCAUACAUGACACACAAAGCAAAUAGAGAAGAAAAAUCAACACAAUUGAUUUAACGAGGUUCGGCUAAGCCUAAUCCUCGGGGCAGAAGCAGAGAGAGUUUUCCACUAUGAAUGAGAAGAAAAAAAAUAUAAUCUACAGAAUCCUCAACUACAAUAGUCUCAAACCUAUAAGAGAAAGGUAUUCCAAUUUGACGAAGACAAUAGCUUUUCCUUUUCCAAAUCUAUUAGGACAAUGGGUUUUCCUGAACCUAUGAAGAUUAUGGAUUUUCUAAAAAUACAAGAAAAUAAUUCAAGUCACAAAUAACAAUCUGAAUUUAGUCGAACCCCAAUAUGAUUCUGAACACUAAAACCAAACAAAAAGAGCGUACACAAGCUUUUACAGGGUUAGCUGUUAAAUAGAAAGUGGUAUGUAAGCUUGAGGCUCUAUUAACCACCAAAAAAAAAGAAUAAUUAAUUUAUUAAUGGAUAUUCCUAAAUUAACAACUUAAUUAAUGAUUAACUACACAAAAACUAUGCAAUCAUCACGUUUGAAGUUAUUUAGGGGAGAUCGGUUUUAUGACGCAUUACAAAUGUUAUUCAAUUUUACUUUUAUAGCCAUUUUAUAGGAGAUCAAUAAAAUAAAAUAUUAUAUGAGAUCAAUAAAUGACGCACAUAAGAUUUUUGUACGAUCAUUUUAUUAUAUUCAAAUUAUAACCGGUCAUGGGAGAUAAUGAGUCACAAGAAAGUUAAACAACUAAAAGUGGAACACAAGAAAGAUAAGAAAGAAGGAAGAUCAGCUUUAUUAUGGAUUUUUAUGUUUCUUUUUGUCACUUUUUUGGUUAAAUACUUUUGGUACCACCACUACGUUGGAAUUCAUGCAAAUCCAUGCAAUAUUAUUAAGUUAUAAUAUCCUGCAAAUUGCCUGUAAAUUUCUCCAUAUCAUAAAUUAUAUUUUUAUUCUUGCUUCUUCUAUGUGAAGUAUUUCUACUAAUUAAUUAAUUCAAACAAUGACCAUAAAAUGAAUUUAUUCUCCAAAUAAUUAUCAUUUAAUGACAUUAAUCUCACAAUGUACAUUCAAAUCCUAUUAUGAGGUACAUAAUACAAACAAAUUAUUAUUACAUUUCAAAUUAGACUCCAAUGACAUUUUGUUUAUAUUUCCAUCCAAUCCAAAAGGUAGUAGUUAUAGCAAUCAUACAAUGAAAAUAUAGGUGAAUUCAAGAUAUACGUUAUGUUUGGAUCAUUGUUAUCUAUCAUUUUAUAAUGUAUUGUAUUGUACUGUAUUGUAUUGUAUUGUAUUGUAUCGUUUUAUGGAUAUAAUGUUUAAAUAGAUUGUAUCGUUUGCUGUUGUUAAAUAAUGUUUUUGUUGUUUAGUUUGACUGUAUCGUACUGUACUAUAACUGAUAAGUUCACUAAAAUACCCCCAAUUAUUUUAAAAUAAAAUCUAUCAAGAACUACACAUAAAAAUAAUUUAAUAAAAUAUCUUUCUACUAAUUUAUCAUUAAUUACGUAGAUUGGAAACAAGAGAAAAAACCUGAAAAAAGGUUAACUAAUAUUAGCAGCAACAAGAAAAAAAAAUUAAAAUGAUGGAAAGAGACGAAGAAUCGAAUGGAGACUUGGAUAAAAAGAACGGGGCAAACCGGCUCUAGAAAAGAUGGAAGAAGACAAAGUAGAUCAAUAGGUUGGAGAUUUGGAGUUAAAAUAAAAAAAAAAGUUAAAUGAUAAACUAGAAUUAUGGAGUAAUAAGUAAGGACGUAAUUGGAAAAGAAAAUAAGAAACUAUUCCACCACACCAAAUUGGUUGUUUCAUAAAAUGGGGGUUUUAAUUGUUCCGGAACAAUGCAUUUAACAAUACGAUACAAUCAAUUUUAAAUAAACAAUCAAAACAAACAUUGUUUUGAAAUACCAAUACAAUACGAUACAAUGGGUAACAACCAUCCGUACAAGCUGUUAAAGUCACUGACUUUACAAUGAAUGUGAUAAUACUAUUAUUAUUAUAAGUAUUAAAUUGUAUAUAUGUAUGCAUAAUUCGAGUCAAAAAUAAGUUGAAUUAAACUCACAAAACCUGCCUUAAAUCUAUCUUUCAUUGAAAAGGAUUUGUACCAAAAAAGGGCAAAAAUUGGAUGGGAAAAGGAAGGGAGUGGGACACUACUGUAGUAAGCCAAAAAAAUACAGCAAAGAGUAACAUGGUGAGAAGUUGGAUCAAAAGAGAGAGUACUUAAGCUCAAAGGGCCACUAAAAUAUCCAAAUACAUAUAGAAUUAGUAACGUUAAGAGAUUCAGAAUUUAAACUUUAUGAGCUCUAAAUUCAAGAACAACAAAUACAUAUAGAAUUAUUAGCGUUAGAGAUUCAGAAUUUAAACUUUAUGAGCUCUAAAUUCAAGAACAACAAAUACAUAUAGAAUUAUUAGCGUUAGAGAUUCAGAAUUUAAACUUUAUGAGUUCUAAAUUCAAGGACAACAAAUACAUAUAGAAUUAGUAGCGUUAGAGAUUCAGAAUUUAAACUUUAUGAGCUCUAAAUUUAAGGACAACGAUAUUUAAUAUCAGUAAUUAGAUUCUGAAUUUGAACUUUUUUUAUAUAUUAAAUGGAUUUCUUAGUACAAAUAUAUUGUUUAAGUAAAAAUUACUGAAUUCGAUCGAACGAGCUGAACCAAAAAGUGUGAUAGGGAAAUCCAUUAACUCAACAUAUGAGGUUUUUGUUUCAAUGUUGGGAGAUAUUUGUGUCAACCCGUGAUGGGAGUGAUAGUGCAUGUUAUCUUUGAGGCUGGAUUAUUUUGUUACCUUCUGCAUCUGCUUUCCUCAUCUUGAUGUGAUUGGUCGGCUACCCCCCCCCCCCACCCACCCACCCCUACAAAAAAAAUAAAAAAAAUAAAGGGCAAAAGAAAAAAAAAAUUUGUCACAUUAAAGUGCAAGUAAUUGAAUAUUACUCACUACUAUAAUAAAGUCAUAAAUAUUAACAGCUUCGUUUGGAUGAUUGUUAUGUAUCGUUUCGUAAUAUAUCAUACCGUAUUGUAUUAUACUGUAUCGUUUUGAUAUCUAUAAUAUUUGGAUAAAUUGUAUUGUUUAUCGUCGUUUCAUGAUAUCAUGUACCACAAUAUGAAGAAUAAACUUUCAUUAUUACAAAAAAAAAAAAAAAAGUAAGGUACGAAAUAGAAUUAUUACUCUAUCCGUACACUUUUACUUGUACACUAUUAUUAUUAAUGUGUUUUUGUCACAUUAAAGUACAAGUAACUGAAUAUUACUCACGACCGAUAGUAAAGUCACAAAUUUUAAAAUAACUAAAGUAUACAUGUGUAAAUUGCUCAGUAAAUAUUAAUGACCGGAAAGUCAAAUUUAUUGCAUCUAGUAGUUAUUUCUUCUCCCUUAAUUUUUUUAUUUUUGGUUUCAUUUAGAUGCCUUUUAACUGUCUUUUGUUUUAUGAAAUACAGGUAGUCAAAAUUCUACAUAAUAAUUUUCUCUCCUUUGUAUUUUCUGAGCAAACGCACAUAAUUUAGUUACUUUACUGUUAACGAGUAAAGUUCAUUUAUAUCAAUGAGAUAAAAAAAAAUAGUUUUAUAAUUUUAUUAUAAUAGUGAGUAAAAGUUCAUUUAUUUUAAUAAACUAUUUGUGUGUUUACUUCUUUAUAUUUUGAAUCACCUUAAUAAAAUUUCUAGCUCCGCCAUUUUUUGGGUGCACGCAAUAUGCAGGUGCAAUUUCAUCGAUCUACUAGUUAACUUGACUAAAAUAUGAACCUUGAAUAUAAAGUCACACUAUUGUUUUACUACAAUUUGAGAAUGUUAUCAUAGGCUAUAAGUUGAGAAGAUUUCUUCCUACUUCUUAAAGGGCAUUUGAGAAUGUGAGGAUACUUAUAAUGGGCGGGGCAUCCCGGUGCACGAAGCAUCUCGUAUUCAUGCAAGGAUCGGAAAACGGCCGCACGGCCAAGGAGUGUGAUGUAGGCAGCCUACCCUGAUGUAAGCAUCAGCGGUUGAUUCUACAGCUCGAACCCGUGACCUAUAGGUCACACAAAGAUAACUUUACUGUAAUUCUAAGGAUAGUCAUAAUAGAUGAAAUAUGAACCAUUCAAUAUUCAAUAGAUAGUAAACCAUUGGGUUCUCAUUUGGACCACCAAAAAUUUUCUUGAGCAUAUGACAAUAAGCACAUUAAAUAGAUUUUGUCUUGUAUUAUGUCCCCAUAUGGUAAGAGUUUGUGGAGGUUUUUGUAACUGCAGUAAAAUACAGUGGCUUAGAUUUCCUCUUUGUAAAUGCUUGGCUCAAAUUGUCUUCCUUUUUAACAAUGGUCCAUAUGGUAAAAUCAAGAGGCUGUGAUUCCUCUAAAUACUAUAAAAUGUCAGAUCAAAGUACAUCCACAGGAUUUGGAUUGACCUAAAGAAUAUAAGAAUCUUUAUCAUAGUCCUUUAGGUACCUGCAAUGUCACAUGACUACACAAUCAUGGAGAAAUAAAGUAAGAGAUGUGGAAGGUAGACAUUGUGGUUCCAUAAUUUACACCUCCUUGGAGUGCGGCCCUUUAUCUGAUCCUGCAUGAACGCAUAAUACUUUAUGCACCGGAUUACCCUUUUCUUGGUUAUGAAUCGAGAAAGUGAGGUCUGAAAUAGUGAAAUAUAUAUAUCUUACUCUAACUUUAUCUACCUUGUUACGUUUUUCACACUUAAAUAUACAACAACCCAGUAUAAUCCGACUAGUGGGGUUUGGGGAGGGUAGUGUGUACACAGAUCUUACCCUUAUCCUGGGGUAGAGAGGAUGUUUCCGAUAGAUCCUCGGCAUCCCCUGACUCGAACUCUCACAACCUCUUGGUUGGAAGUGGAGGGUGUUCACCACUAGAGCAACUUACUCUUGUCGUUUUUCACACUUAUAUAUGAGGUUCAAAAAGUACUGGGUUCUGUCGAACUCCCAAACCCAUGGUGAAUAAUGUAGUAGCAAUAUCUUUAUACCCUAGAUUUGGUUUGUAUCUCUUCCACUUAACCUGCAAAAGAGAGAUGAGAAACUUAGCAUGUUCCUUUUAGGGCUCCAGUAAACAGGUUAUAUGAACCUAUCUUUUUGUAACUUAAUCAUAACUUAAAUAUUCUAUUAACUACUUCUGAUAAGCUAUGAAAUUACACUUUUCUUUUAAGCUGUAAAACUUGUAAUGUAGUAGCAACCAAAUACAUGAUAUGGACCAAAGUUACUGAGUUCUGUCGAACCUGUAUCGUAAAUGGUACAUCCGCCUCUGGCUAUAGUCACUUUCUUUAGCCGCUUUAAACCAUCUCCUCUCAAAUACUAUCUAGUUUGAGACCUUUGACAAGAUAAAAGGCCUUCGCCUUAUUCAAACGUUAUUUGCAGAAUAUCUUCAAUCUAGUCAUGUUUGAAGCAAGGAACCAAACGUCACGCUUAACUCAAUAUAGACGUAGUGUAAGAAUUUAUGCACUCCUCUCUUUAAGUAGAAUCAGGAUGGAACUUCCACAACCAAACGGUAGUUUGAAGGUUUGAAUCAUGUGAAGAAUAUGCAGGAACAUGUGGAAUGCAGGGUGAAGAACAGAAAAGCCCAAUUCUCUCAUUGUAAAGCCUCGUAUGCUGUGUUUAUGAUACAUUAUUGCGCUCUAAAAAUGAUAAAUUAUACGUCGAGGAUAGAUUAUUUGCUCCUAGCUAGGUACAUACUGCACUGUUGGAUUUGACAAAAAAAAAGAUAAAUAUAAAGAACCAGAAAUGGAAAACAACGCAAAAAAAUGGCAGAGUAGAAACAUCUCAUGGCAGUGGCAAAGAAAGAUUUGUGAUUGAAUUCAAAUUGAACCUUGGUCAUUAGAGAUUUUCUGCUCCUUAGCUCCUUUGCAAUUCUCUUGAGAAUCCUUGAAGUAGUUGUAUGUAUAGCUACAAUCUGCACAAUAAAAGCUGGUUACAAGAUUCAUAAAACUCAAAAUAGAAACUAGAAAUGCAAAUAGUGGCGGGGGCAGGAUCUCCACGAAGAGGGUUCAAAUUUUUUUUUUGUAGCUAGUGGAAUUGAACUCAUGACCUUAUGUAGAUUUUGAACCCCCUUGACCACUAAACUACACUUUUGGAUUGUAUUAAGGGUGUUCAAAACUUAAUAUAUAGAGAUAAAAAAUAGAUUUUGCCUUAUAUAUACAAUGUAAUUUUUCGGCGAAGGGUGUUUGGAUGAACACCCUUGCGCCCCCCUAAAUCCGCCCCUGAAUGCAAUUUGCCAACUCCAACAAAGACUCACAGAUAAGCGAGCACGAGUUGUUAUCUCCUUGUAUGAACAGUACGGGACAUGAUGGGGCGGGCAAGCUUUUGAAAGCAACAAAAAUACUGGAAAAACCUCUGGUAAAAAAUUAUAACAUUAGUGAAAAAUUAAUAUACAUAUAUGCUUUAACUCCUUAAAAUAGCAACAACAACAACAACAAAGUAAAAUCUCACGAGUGGGGUAUGGGGAGAGUAGUGUAUAUGCAGACCUUACCCCUACCCCGAAGGAGUAGAGAGGCUGUUUCCGAAAGACCCUCGGCUCAAGUAAACAAAAAGACAAAAGCAUGUAAAUCAAAUCAGUGUCAAGCGCCAAUAUGAGAACCAAUCUUUCUUAGAAGUCACAGAUCAACUGGUAAAUACAACAACAAACAACGCUUCAGUCUCAAACAAUACUGGUAAAUGUAACCAAAAAAAUCUGCUUUAUGCAAUGUUAAGAAGACACUAAAACCACACAAGAGGACAAUUUCUGCAGGCUGUCGAUGAGAUAAAAGCAAUAUGAACAAUAGCUACGUACCAUUGUAACAUCUUCAACUGGAUAUAUAUUGCGCUGGAGAAACAAGACAGCAGGUUGAGUGAAACUUGAUAAUCCUUUGCUGUCUCAUACAAAAUCUCUUUUCUUCUUUCCUUUUCUUUUACCUGAUACAAAUGAAAUGCUGUUACAAUUUAACUCUUGGAUGGUUAAAAGGAGGAGAAAACAAAUCUAUUUGUAUUAUUUUUCACAAGUCACAAGGCUAUUAAACGAGUGGCGAAGGGAUUCCAAUAGUAAAAAGUUCUCAACAUCUAGAAUUUAAUCAGCUGUCAAGAAGCAAGAUGAAGAUUAUAUCCCCUUAAAAAAUCUAAGAAAGCCAAUUACAUGUCAAUCUUUUUCUCCAUUAAAAAUGCCUUCAGCACCUGUUCUAUAAUUCCAGCUUAACAAUUGAACACCUCAAAUCUCUUGUCAGCUUUACCUGAGGAUGUCACCUGUCAUCUGAGUAAAAAGUAUUGCUUCUUUGACAGUAGUUGAUUUGAUUGGCAACAAACAUAAGGUCACUGGUUAUUUGUUCUUCUAAGUCUGUUCUUCCCAGUGUUAUCAAAGGCUAAAAGGGCAAAAAAGCUCUAAGGUUUUGUUGGGGCUUUAAGCGCAAAGCGCAAAUAAAGCGUGGGCUUUAAUGAAAAAAGGUGCGAAAGUAAAAAUGUGCAUGUAGUCCAAGACUAAUCAUUAUAAGCAUGAAUAACAAAUAUAUGAACAAAGAAAUUGAAAAAGAAAUUCACGAUAAGGUGAAAUAUCAAUUGUUUAAGGUCGUCUUUUCAAGAUUACACUCAUUGGCAAGGAAAAGUAUGCCUUAGAGCUUUGAUGCAACACUAAAGCGCCCACAAAGCAAGGCGAAGCGCUCAACGAUUGAGCUUCGCUUCAGGGCUUAAGCACGCUUUAAGCGCGCCCUUGACAACACUGGUUCUUCCAAAACAAAAACAAAAACUACAAGAGAUAAUUUUGGUUAGAUUCUUGUAAACAAUAAAAGCAGGAUAAAAAAAGCUCACCUUUAAAUUAUCAGUAUAAUGAAGAUUGAAAUAUAACUUUUUCACACAUGCAUGGGUAGAAAUAAACACAGAUCUCCUAGAAGAUACUGUUAAAUUGCCAAAUAUGUCAUAAAAAGUAGUAUGCUUUAAUUUUCUUUCUAUAAUCUUGCACACACUCAGUUACUUUUUUCAUCAAGUACAGUAAAUAACUAGGCAAAUCUAUCUGGAAGAUAAGAGUUUUGCUUCAACAAGCUGAAAAAACAUUCUGCAACUGGGGUUGAAGUAAAUAAAAGUAACAACUCCUAGGAAUGCCACAAUGCAUGAUGGAACAAAAGUUGCCAAAAAUGAAUCUUUGAACAGAUCAUUUUCUCCUGGAUUUGGAUCUGAUACUGCAGUGCUCCUUCUGCAGUUUUCCUCGACAGGUAAUCCACAAAGGAAAGGAUUGCCUUCGUAGCUGCUCGCUUCAAAGGUAGCAAACUGAGCCUUCCUAUCCGGGGUACGUCCUGAUAAAUUGUUGUUUGCCACUGAGAAGACUGAUAGAAAGUUUAACUGAACCAAAUCCGAAGGAAUUUCACCACUCAGCUUAUUGUCGGAUAAGUCCAAGCUUUGUAUUUGCUUCAAGUUGGAAAACGUCCUUGGAAUGGAUGAAUUCAUUUGAUUAUGUGAUAAAUUUAGAGUAUGAAUAUCACUUAGGAAUUCAAGUUCUGGAGGAAUUGGACCUGCCAACUUAUUCAUAGAAAGAUCGAUCCCAGACAUGAAAUACAACAUGUUUCCUGUGUAUGAUUCAGACCUACUCUUUGACAUAAAUUCUAUUUCUACUGCCACAUCUGAUGAGUAAAAUCUAGCUUCAACAUAUUGGUUUACACCAAGUAUGCUUUGAUAUUCGUACGACCUGAAGGGUCGAUAAGCUUUCCACCCAUAUUCAUCAGUCUCAAAGGUUUGAUCAUUUGUUUUCUUCUGACCAAAAGGUAUAUCUUUCAAACAUGAAGGUAGCCGACCAGAAAGUCUAUUGGAAGAGAGAUCUAGUAUGCUGAUGUUUUUAAGCUGACACAGCUGAAAAGGAAUGGAACCUACAAAGCCGUUUCCCUUCAAUAAAAGAUUCCUCAAAUUUGAUAGUACACUGAUCCACUUUGGAAUUUCCCCUGAUAGUUCAUUAUCCCUCAUAUCCAGUGUCACAAGGGAAGAUGCUCUAUAGAGAGAUCUCGGCAAAGAUCCUGAGAGUUUAUUUCCUUGAAGGUGUAAAUAUCUUAGUGAUGACAGAUUCAAACAAGGAGGUACGUUACCAGAAAGACUAUUCCAUGCAAGGUCUAAAUUAAUCAGUUGUACUACUCUGCAAAAGCCUGUAGGUAUAUGACCUUUGAACGAGUUUCUGGAUACAACAAGGGAUCCAAGGAAAGAAAAUUCCCCUAUCCAAUCAGGUAGUUUUCCCGAGAUCAAGUUAUUGCUUAGAUCCAACAGGCUCAAUGAGGAGCUUGUAAGAAGUCCAGGUAACAACUGUCCUGAAAAGUGAUUAUUAUCCAAAUACAAUAACCGGACUGAUGUAAGGUUCCAUUUUCUGGGAAAUAAUUGGCCCUGCAGAUUAUUAUGUGAAAGCUUCAGAGCAGUCAACUCCUUGCAGCCCAUAAAAAAAUGUUCAGGUAAUUCCCCAGUGAAAUUGUUGCUCGACAGAUCCAAUGAAUACAACUUACUCAUGUUGCCGAUUGAAGGAGGAAUACUACCAUGAAAUGAGUUUCUAGACAUGUUCAAAUACUCCAAAUUUGGGAGAAUAUGGCCAAUAGAUGCUGGAAGCAGGCCUUGAAUAUCAUUCUUCCACAUAUCAAGCCAAAACAAAUCAAGAUUUUUAAAAUCAGCAGGUAACACAAAUUGACCCGUGAAUGAGUUUUCUGCAAGACUAAGGAACUCCAAUCUUGUGUUGUUAUUCAGUAACCAAGUGGGAACCUCUCCAACCAUAGCAUUGUAACUGAGGUUAACAACUCUUAAUUCAUGCUGGGUCAAAAGAAAGCUCGGAAUAGAUCUAGUCGGCUCAUUGAUUUUGCAGUUCGAUAAUCUUAGGACUUUUAGCUGAAAUAGAGGUUUCCAGGGUGUAUUUUCUGUGUCUACAUGUAACUCAUUGUUAAGGCUAUCAAGUUCGAGAACCUCAAGAUUGGAGUUGUUAGCAAAUGAGCUCAAGGAGAUGGACCCUUCAAAAUGGUUCAAAGAAAGAGAAAGGUAUUCGAGGGACUUGAGCCUAAGGAGAUCAGAAGGAAUGGUUCCCCCAAGGUUAUUUUCAGAAAGUUCGAGGAGACGGAGGGAUGUUAAAUUGCUGAUACAUGGAGGAAUAGAUCCUUUGAGGCUGUUUCGGCUAAUAUCCAACUCUUGAAGGCUUCGCAAUUUACAUAAACCUGAAAGGUGAAAAAUUGCAUGGUCAUUGACCACAAAGAUGAGAGCAAAGAAAUCUUUCUUCAUAAAAAUAAACACAGGUAGGGGGGCAUGACAAGUGAUAGCUUCACCUCUAUAUUAUUGGGAAAACUUUAACAUGAAGAACAAAGAUAACUCCUAUAGUUUACCAAUCUCACCCAAUUUAAGAUUCAAACAAAUAAUUUUUUGAAGUCCUAACUGCAUGACUAUUCGCCAAUAUCUCCUGCAAAUCCACUUUAAUACGCCCAGCCCCGGGAGAAAAUUAACAAAAAAAGUCGCCUCUAACCGCACACUGUUAGAGCACUGAUACAAAAAAAAAUUAAGAAAAAACAUAUGAAUAACUAAUGCAACUUAUGAUGCAUGUUCAUUGGAUAAAGAUCCGGCCAUUGUAAAUAAUCUUCAGAGCUCAUAUAUUGGAAUAACAAUGUAAACUAAAUUGAGUAUCUAGAGCAAAGAGAGCACACCUUCCUCUGGAAAAGAGCCAUUUACUUCAUUGUUUCUUAACGAUAAGCUCUUUAAAGAUGUCAAGGCCCCAAUAGAUAGAGGUAUCUCACCAGAAAUAUCAUUAUAACCCAAGUCAAGCAUCUCCAGACCCCUCAAUGUCGUCAACUCUGUGAACAAACAAGUCAAUUAGGGAACUAAUAGUACAACUGCACAAGGGAGAAGGGUACAAGGUACUGCUUCAUUACCUUGUAAUGUUGACAAAUUUUUCAAAUAAUUGGACGUAAAGCUCAAAAACUUUAAAGAUUCUAGGCCACUGAGGGAUGGAAUUUAUGUAAGCUGGUUAUAACUCAGAUCCAACAUCUUUAAUUUGUUUAACUUCUGCACUCCAUUAAAGCCUGCAAAAAUCAAUCAAGAAACUUGCAUACUCAUCUGUAAAAAUCUGAGUCUUUUCAAGCUAAAACACAAGGAAAAGAUAACAAAGCAUCAAGACGCUAGAACAGUUGUCAAGGAUGCUCUUUCACGGAUGCAGAUAUAUUACGUCCUUGGAAGUUAGCGUCAAUUCUCAACUUUCAGCUGUGCUAUACGUAUCCGAAUCAACGGUCGAACUGUUAUAACAUAGGAACUAAAAUAAAUUGAGUUGUUUCCAGAUUGUAGACUCUAGACAUUUACAACUAUUCCAAAUUCAAGUUGUCUCUUAUACCCCUCUAAGUUUUAUCCUUAAACCUCAAAAUUAGCUUUGCUUCCUUUUUUGUUUGAAAUCCCAAAAACAGCCUCUUAAAAUGUGAAAAAAGAGAGAAAAAUACGCUUAUUUAUCAUCAACUUGUUAAUCACUCAAUGUCCUACAAGAAUUCUUGUGGGAAAGUAAGCCUGCAUUUUCCAUUGGUAGUUUAUCUUAGACUUAAGAGUUCCAGUUGUUGUUAAUACUUAGCAUAUCCAAAGAAAAAAUGCUAGUUACUGUUAGAAAUAAAAAAAAAACAAAAAGAAUUUCCCUUGUUCCAAGUUGAAUAUCAUAUCUACCGUUUAAGGAAAUAUCAUAUUCUUUUUCGUUCAGUGUCUUUCUGCAUUAUAUUGCUAGUACCAUCACUAUGUAGUAGGAGGCAAGUUAUAGUGAUAUUCACAUAUGCAUUUCCAGCAAACAUUUUAAGACCUACGCCAAAUGAAUAACAUUCGGUAACAAAAGUACAGAACAAAUAUCCUGCAAACCAGCAUCAGAAAACCAAUCCAGCAUGAUACCAGAAAAUUUUUCGGUUUCGUUAUUCAAAGAUGAUAUGUAACAAAAGCAUGGACAUUUUUAACUAUCUCGCAAUCACACCAGAUAGGGUAGGCAUCAUAUUAUACUUCCUCUUUUCAUUUUAUGUGACAAUAUUACUAUUUGGGAAGUAAAAGAGGUUCCUUUUAUUUUUUUUAGUGACGAUGGUGUCCAAGCUAACUUAUGCGCUCCUCAACUAUUCCACCGGAUACUUGCUACGUCCCACCAGCACACCUCAGGUAAAGAGAUUUUUUUAUCACAAUUUUUUUUUAAAUUCUUUUAUUUUCCUUUAAGGGACAUCUGGUUAACUCAUCCUAAAAGUAAACACAAAAUUUCAAGUAUUUUAAAUUAUUAAAUAUUGUAAAACUUAUAGUAGUAUUACAAGAUUUUCACUAUUUGGGGAUUGUUAUGAAACCUUUUUCUUUGAAUUACGUGCCAUAGAGUCGAUUACCAAAAACUUAUAACAUUUAUGUGGUAUCAUAGACCUUCAAAAAGCAAAGGUAAAACUUAUUUGUGUUGGGUGUUUAUACAAAACCAUACUAUUCAUUAGGGGUGGCAAAUGGGCGGAUUGGGUUAGGUCAAUAAAUGGGUCAUUGUCCAACCCAGCCCAAAGUGUAUUUGGGCUAAGAUGGGCUGGGUCAAGAUGGGUCAAAAUGGAAAAGCAUAUUAGUUGCUCUAUAUGAACGUAACACAAACAAGUAGCUACCUCGGGAGGAUAGUCUUUUUCCAAUAGGCUAGUUGUCCUCGAGUCCCCACGUCCGUUUUUCUCUACCCGCAACCCAAUAAGCUGGCAAAGCCAACGCAAGGUUAGGGUCGUCCCCUUUAUUCUAUACUGACCCCGAUCUAGGGGCUAACUUUUUGGGAAGCCCGUUCCCACCACGCUCACGGCCAGCUGACCUUCUAGCGGUAGUGAGAAUUCUCUUGUUCCAUGGUCAAAGACUUGGUUGGAUGCAGAUAGACCUUGAGCCUAACUCAACCCCAACAGAUGUGGGAUCUAACACAUUGUUAAGAAAAUGCUCAUCAGGUAACCAUACAAGUACACCUAAUUUUAUAUCACCCGAACCCAGAGGCAGAUCUAGAAUUUGAAGGUGGCGGGUUCCAUAAUUCCUUUAAUGUUUACCUUGUAAUGACUAACACGAAAUUUGUAAGGAACGUUUAUUCGAUUUUUUUUUGAGUUUAUUCGGGUCAACCUAGUAGGUGUCUUUUAUUUGAAUAUAUAAAAAUUACAUCUAAAAUAUCAAAAAAUAAACAUAAUUAGCAUUUUAAAUAAGGAAUAACACCUAUAUUAUAACAACACAAAUAAAAUUAACAUUUUCACUAGGAAAUUACAUCUUUUUCUACAUAUUAAAAAUAAAUUUACACAAGUAAGAUAACAUCUGCAAUAAGGGAAUUACAUCAAUCAAAAUAAGAUUUUUUUUUAAAAUGUCUUCAGUAGAUAAAUUAUACCCACAAGUAAAAUGUAUAAUUAAAUAAACUACAAGUAAUAAAUCUCAUUUUUAAGCAAUGCUUACAAAAUUUUCAUCAUAAUUUAAUACUAAAGAGAUUUAAAUUAUAUUUAAUAAUUAUAAAAUAACAAAAAAAAUUGUGAUAUACUAAAAAGACAAUUUUUUUAUCUUAAUCCAAAAUUCCCAUAAGACACAAGUUUUUCGGAUUUGAAAGAAAAAAACUCAUAGAUUUAAGAUAAAGAGGAAUACUUAUUGUAUAUAAUUUUAAAGUUUUGAGUCUCUUUUUCGAGUGUUCUUACUAGAAACCAUAUAUAAAAUAAUAGAAUAGAGAAAAGAAAAAUAUAAAAAAUAAUAAAACGGUAAAUAGAAAAUUGUGUGGCAUCCGAAAAGGGAAAGUGACUGGGCUAAAAGGAAAUAAAAAGCACAAAGAAAAAGGGGAAGUCACACAAGGUUCAAGAUAAAUUCCAACUUGAAUUUUACAUACGAGAAAAGCUUUCAAAAAGGUCUACAAGCCAUGGCACCAUUGUCUAGUUUAUAACUGCGGGUGGUAGGAUGAGAUAUUUAACCUAAUUUAAGAAAAUUUCAACAUAUGUAUAUAAAAAAAUUAUCCUAUUAGCGGGUGUCAUGCCACCCCUUUCUAAAGGGUUAUAUUCGCCUUUGCCCGAACCCCUUCGCCGAAAAAUUACACUAUACAUAUAAGGUAAAAUCCUUCGGAAACAGCAUCUCUACCUUCAUUAGGUAGGGCUAAGGUCUCAUACACUUCACCUUCCUCAGACCCCACUUGUGGGAUUUCACUGGAUUUUUUGUUGUUGAAAUCCGUUUUGUGUCUCUAUAUUAUAAUUUGAAUCCCCUUGACAUAGUCCAAAAGUAUAGCUCAAUCGUUACGGAGGUUGAAAACCUUUGUGAGGUUGCUGCUUCAAUUCCGACCGGUCACAAUCUCUUUUAAUUUUUUAACUUUUUUCCCUUUUUAAACCUCUUAGCACGAAAUCCUGCAUCCGCCGCCGUUUAACUCCCCAACCAAUAUGGGAUCUAACACACACGCACAAAAAAAGGGAGAGAGAGAAGAAGGAAGAAAGAAUUGACCUGUAAUUCCAUUAGAAUCCAAUCUUAACUCCUGCAGCUCCUCAAAGGGAAGAAAUAAAGAGGUUUCCAAUGAGAAAUCAACAAUUUUCCGCAGCUCUAACGGUCUUGUGCGAUUAAGAAAAAGUUUGGUCACCCUCUUUGUGGAUUCACUGCAUGAAACUCUUUCCCAUUUACAACAAUCUUUUUCUUCUUUAUCACCCCAAGAAGAAAGAGCUGUCCCAUUUGGAUAGUUGAAUGAAUCUUUCAGUUUUAAUAGAGCAAUUCUUUCACCCUCCCAGCAACCUAAGCUUCCAUUAGCCAAAUGGAGCAGAACCCACAACCUUAAAAUCCCAAAAAACAUACCUAAUGAUUAAUUCUAACUGUUUAACGAGUUUUUUAUAUUUUCUUUUAGACCCCAUUAUCAUAAUAUAUAGUGUAGAAGUUAAAGAUAAUGGCUUUGGGAUUUGAGGUGAACUGAGAAUAGAUGAACUUUCUUCGAAUUUCUGGUCAUGCGAAUUGGAAAAUUUUGGUUUGAACUGUUUACUUUUACUUUUCAAAACAACAAGUCCUUUUGAGCCCCUCUCUUUUUUUUUUCCCCAAAAGUACUUUUUGCUUCAUUUAAGGUGUUUGGCCAAAUUUCUGGAAGUAAAAAAAGUAUUUUUGAAGAGAAGUAGAAGCAGAAAAAAGUAGCUUCUUUCCAAAAGUACUUUUUUGAGAAGCACUUUUGAGAAAAAUACACUUACAAACAGUUUUUUAAAGUUUGGCCAAACACUAAUUGCUGCUCAGAAGUGCUUUUCAAACUAAUUAGCCAAACACAAACUGCUUCUCACCAAAAGUACUUUUAAAAAAAAAUCACUUCUCAAAAUAAGCUGAUUUUUGCAGUUUGGCCAAACGGGCUAUUAGCAAGAAGUGAAAGAAAACGAGGCGUACCACAGUGAAAGGGCUUUUUAAGUUUUAUAUGGUGAAAUGUUUGGGCCGAAUUUAGAAUGUUUAGUAAGUUAGUGGGCAUUUUUAGUAAGUAAUUUUUUUAGAAUAGUUGCUCGCGUAUAGAAAGCGCGACCUGCUUGUUUUUUGGAAAACAUUUGAAUAGUUUAAUAAAUUGGAAUUCUUGAAGUAGUAUGAAAUUAUUAAAUAUUAUUUUCAGUGAAAUAAUAUCAAAAUUCCCAAAAGAUUCCAAAUAGAAAAAGUUUAUAUGAAUUGAGAAGUAGAAGGUUGCAAAAAAAUAAUGAUUAAAGGCAUAUUAUCGGAUAAAUUACGCUCAUCUCGACUAUUUUAUGGAGGUUUAAGCAAAAUGGAGGGAAAAAUCACAGUUUUUUUUUGGUAAAAUGAAAAAGAGGAGUAAUAACAUAAAUCUAUAUCUAUAUUUAUAUUAUAUUAAAAGCAUGAAGUCCAUGUCAAAAUGUCAUUCGCUUUUUUUACCUUUGUAAGUAUAUUCUACGCUGGACAUAAUUGUAAUUAUAAUCAAUUAUAAUUUUCUUAGGCAAAAAAAAAAAAUUCCAUUUAUUUCCAUUUUUGUUGGCUACAGAUUUUCUUUUGUUUAGGUUUAGGCUUCUUUAGAUUUUUCUUUGUUUCUUCAUUCUUUCCUAGUAAUUAGGAUUCUUUAAUUGCCCAUACUGCCGCAUAUUAAAUUAAUGCUGCAAAUUGUAACUAGGUUCGUAUAUUGUUGAUAUAUAAUUACAAAUUGAAAGGUACGUUACAAUGUCUUAUAUACGAUUAAGUUCAAAACUUGACUUAGAGCCCGUUUGGCUUAGCUGAUUUAAGUAGCUGAUAAGCAUUAUGUGCUGAAAAGCACUUUUAAGUGCUGAAACUUAUUUAAAAAAUAAACAGUUACGUGUUUGGAUAAAAGUUCUGAAAUUAAUAAUAAGCAGCUGAAGAAUUGGGUAUACGAAGAGUUUUGUUUAAAAAGAAUUAUUUUAGGAAUAGAAUAAUAAAUAUUUUGGUCAAACCUAAAGCGAUUAUAAGCUGAAAUUCGAUAAGUUGGGGGAGACCAACUUAUGACUUUUGGCUUAUUUUUGGCUUAUAAGCACUUAACUUAUAAGCACUUUUAAUUUUACCAAACGCGUAGAUAAGCCAAAAAGUGCUUAUAAACCAGUUUGACCAGCUUAUAAGUUUAGCCAAACACCCUCUUAUUUAUAAAUUUUGCAUAGGUUUUUUGGGUCAUUGCAUUCGUAACUUAAAUUUGCUUUCCAAUUUUUUUUUUUUUUUUUUUGGUAUUUAGAUUUAGAUUCUCAUAGUAGGUUUACCCUUUUCNNNNNNNNNNNNNNNNNNNNNNNNNNNNNNNNNNNNNNNNNNNNNNNNNNNNNNNNNNNNNNNNNNNNNNNNNNNNNNNNNNNNNNNNNNNNNNNNNNNNNNNNNNNNNNNNNNNNNNNNNNNNNNNNNNNNNNNNNNNNNNNNNNNNNNNNNNNNNNNNNNNNNNNNNNNNNNNNNNNNNNNNNNNNNNNNNNNNNNNNNNNNNNNCAAAUUAUAUUAACUUAUUCUUAUUAUAUGGUAAAUAAUGUGAGACUAAAAUUAAAAACUACAAAUAUAUAGAAAAAUAAUGUUUUACUUUUCUAUUAAUUUUGUCCUCUUCAGUCAAUCUAUCUAGACUAUUAUAAAAGCAGGAAACUUCAACGCAACAUUGAUUGAUAUUCUUAUCAUUUAAAAUAAAUUCAUAUUGGAUCAAAUUAUCGUUUACUUAGUAUUUUUAUUAUUACUUAAGACGUAAAAAUUAAUUAAAAUUUUGACUAUUAAAUAUUUUCUUAUUUGAACUAAAUAAAAACUGCUAAUAUUUAGGAAUAUAACCCAAUAAAAUUAUAAGUCGAGUAAGUUAAUUUCACAAGAAUUUAUAAUUUUAGGAAUUGUUAUUUCACAUGGAACAACAAUAAUCCAGGUAACAUUAGAAGUCUUCCGCUUCAAGAUACCGAGAAAAGAAAAGUUAAAGCAAAUUAUACAAAAAUUGUACUCAGGAGCUUAUAAUUAUUUUCAGAUCAUCCAAAACAUUAAAGAUUUAAGUUGUAAUGUUAGCUAUUUUUUCUCCUAGAUUUGGUCUGGCAAUUGUGUGAUGGAUACAUGUCCAUAUACCAGAAUUGUACAAGAGACUAUGCCCAAUGGCUAUUUCAAGCUAUUCUUAUUUAGGACAAUGUCAAAAACACAUUCCAAAAUUGUUGCCAUAGUGUUUUAUAGUUUCUUAUAGUGUUGAUAAAUUUGUUAGGGAUAUGAGAAGCAGUGGUUCGAAUCCACAUCGUAAGACCAGGACAGUGUGGAGAAGCAUCGAUAAAUGCUAUUAACAUUGAUGAUACGGCUUAGAGGAAUUCCGAUAUUACUCAUCAUUAUUGAGCUAAAGAAAGUAAUAACAUUUUUAGCAUAUAUAAUCUCUUUCAUAAUAAUAAAGUAUUUGUAGAGCAGAGACCUUCUUUUAUUGAGGUAGGUAAAUGUGAUUAUAUUCAUCAUUUUUUUCAGGGUUUUUUUUUAGUUUUUAUUUAAUAAGUUAGACAAUUUUGUGAAUAACCUCUAUGUAAUUUUACUAAAUUUAUAUUCGGUGAUAUCAAAUACAUGCGCAACGCGGUACUCUAAGACUAGUUUCACUAAAACGUCGCACAGUUUACUUUGAAUUCAUAUUAUAUGUUUUUUUUGUCUUUUUCAUAAUUUUUAAAAGAAAAAUCACAAUGAUUAAUCCAAAAAAUUUAAAUCAUUGCCGUAAUUAUUUUUCUAUCUUGUAACCUUUUAAUUAAUUACGAAAAAUAAAUGAAAAAUUCUUGAGCAUAGGGCCAAACCAACCAUAAGCCAACUUAGAGAUACUUUCUCGAUCAAGUAACUCUAUAGUUUAGCUAAUUGGAAAAGUAGAAAGCAUCUUCAUUGAACUAGAGAAAUAUUACAUAGCUCAAAAUGGUAUCAAAGAUCAACAAAUCAUACAAUUGUUUUUAUCUUGGAAUAAUUGAGAUUGAUCAAUAAAUAGAUAUUUAAGUUUUAUAUAUACUGAAAAGUACUAUUAAUCUUUUAUCUCAAACUAAUCGAGAUUAAUCAUAUAGGCAACCUCUUCACAAAUUUAAGUUUCACUCAAUCCUUGUUUGUAAAUGUAUACCACUAUACAUAUAGGUGAAUCCACAACUAAGUUAAUAGGUUCGGAAUGAGUAUGAUCUUAUUAUAUGUAUAUAUUUUUAAUUUCUUUUCUGCAUAAGUAUACAUAGUUCGAACCGAAAACAAUGCAGUUCAGUUGAAUACCAUAGUACUCGUCCUAAAUCCGCCUCUGGCUAUACAUAAUUCUUCGUACAUACCAAAAUAUUGGUCCAAUAUGUAUCAUACAUAACACAUUGUAAUCAAAAUGCAUCAUUUCCCAGCAACACAUCAUACAAUGGUUUUUAUCUCUGAAUUAAUUGAUCUUAAUAUAUGUAUAUAUUUUUUAUUUCUUUUCUGCAUAUGUAUACAUAGUUUUAGCCAAAAACAAAUGCAGUUCAGUUGAAUACCAUAGUACUCGCCCUAUAUCCACCUCUAACUAUACAUAGUUUUCUUACACACCGAAUAUUUGUCCAAUAUGUAUCAGACAUAACACAUUGUAUUCGAAAUGCAUUAUUUCCGACCAGCAUAUCAUACAAUCGUCUUUAUCUGAAUAAAUUGAUCUUAUUAUAUGCAGAGGUGGACCUAUGUUGUGAAGAGAGGGGUCACGGGUACCGAAAAAGUUCGGCAAAAAUUCUAUGUGUACACAGUAUAUGUCUUUUAAAAAUAGUGAUAUAAUAGUAAUGACACCCUAUAUGCAAAUGAGAUUUUGGUUGAACGCAAAAGUGCACCCGCGACCUUCAAAUCAUGGAUCCACCUCUGAUUAUAUUGUAUAUAUUACGAUUUUUUUCUGCAUAUGUAUAUAUAGUUUGAGUAAAAAACAAGGCAGUUCAGUGAAUACCAUAAUACUCGCUCUAUAUCCGCCUCCGACUAUACAUAGUUCUUCGUACAUACCAAAAUAUUGGUCCAAUUAUGUCUCAGACAUAACACAUUGUAUUUAAAAUAAAUCAUUUCUCUAUCUUUUGUCACAUCCCAGUCGAGUCCUGUAGUCCAAGAAAAUCCUCGCAGCCCCAUAGUGAGCCAAUGCACCAAAAAUAACAAAUGUAUGAAAUAUUUGAUGACUAUGACCAAUUAUAUCAAAUAAUCCUGGCUUCCAUUUCUCCGGUAUUCGGCUAACAUAAAAUAUAGCCCCUAUUAUAUAACACAAUGCCAUUGCAGAUUCAUAUGCAAGUGUGACAUUCCUCAUAGGAUCAGUCCAAUUCAGCACAAGUGCAUGAACUGCAGGUACCAGACCAAAACAACCCAUAGACAUGAAAAGCCCGGCCCGAAACGACCGAUAUUUUCCGGUCGAAAACACGGGGAAGAGCAAGGUUAUGAUAGUGCAAAUUCCCAAGAUUGUGAUUCCAAUGAGGUAAACAAUUUGCCAAUGUGGUGAACAUUGAAAGAUGUAAUACAUUGGUGGAAAGAAGGAAGUGAUGAUCAUUACUGCUAUUCCAACAUAGUCCAUUUGGACUAAGAAAAGGUUAAGUUUUUGUGAGUGACAUGAGAAAAGAUGACAAAUGCUGCUUGAUAGAAGACAGAACAUUGCACCAGCUAAGAACACAUAGAAUGGCCAAGUUGCUUCAUUUGUUACCCUAUUUGAUAAUGUGAUGUCCAUUUGUAUGUGUCGGUCCUGCGCGUAAGUGUAAAGAAUUUUUACGCUAUCAGUUCAAUAACAUGCAUAGUUAUUAGAAGGGUUUAAGUUGUAUAUAUUGUAGCCCACAUUGUAAAGAUGUUUUACGUAUGCUACCAAUGCAAUUUAUUCUGGUUAUAGCAUGUCCAGUGGCGGAUCUACAUUGUCAAUUGUGGGUGCUCAAGCAUCCAUUAUCUUUGACCAGAUUUAGUAAAUUUGCAUAGACAAUUGUAAAAAUAUUUAGACAAAUAUUGAGUGAGCACCCACAACUUAACUCCUUUUUUCUCUUCUUUCAGAAUUUUAUUAGCGAGCACCUAUGACAGAGCACGUCAUUACUCUAUUUUCCAUAGUAUCAUAUCCAACUUAAUACGAAGAGUUACCUAAUAUUGUGGUAAAUUUAGUCUGAAAGUAUAAUUAAAAACUAUACAUUAGCAUUUCACAGAACGUAAAUCCUUCCUAAAGAUGAAUUUAACUUAUAUAUACUGGCGGUGAAAAGAAUUUUUAUACAUUAGUGUAAUUUAACUUAUUAUAGCAGGUUGUCAAUUUUAUUUUUCAAGUAACUAGUUCCACUAGUUAUGAAAGUUAUCUAUAGUUAUCAUUUAUGUGAUCAGAUAGUGUAAAGUUGUCGGUUUAUAAAAAAUUAAAGGAAAAAUGACACUGGAUUAUUUAUAUAUAUAUAGUUAUCAUUUAUAUGAUCUGAUAGUGUAAAAUUGUCAGUUUAUAAAAGAUUAAAGGAAAAAUGACACUGGAUUAUAUAUAUAUAUAUAUAUAUAUACACACAUACAUUUCUGUGUGUUAUAUACAAAAAAUAUAUAAGUUUUAUAUCCUUUUGCGACUAUCGGAUGUAAAUAGUUUCGGCCGCGAGAUAAAAGUGAUCUAUGCCCAAGAUUAAACUUUUAAAAGUUCAUGAAAAUGUAUUACUAACAAUAUUUAAAGAACCAGCAUGUAACUCACCUGGGAAAAAGCCUUUGAACUGUGAGAGAUGUUUGCAUUUCCACUCGUCGGAAAAUUUCUGCAAGAUUGAAGCAAAACUCAAUGUUUUCAUCUUAAAAUAUGAUAAUUACUAAUAUUCAGAAUUAACUCAAGUGUUUUUAAUGGAUUAUAUUAAUUAAAAGUAACAUUUAAAGUUUAGUUUUAUGUGUAGAAAUGGAUUAAUUGAUUAACAUUAGUCCCAGUAAAAAAAUGUUGGAGAUUGCCAAUUGAAAAUACCAGACAAGAAUUAAUUUUAGUAUCACUUUCCGUCCAAAGUAUUAAUCAUUUUCCAAAAUAUUUGACUUUUAGAAAAACAAGAUGUUAUUUUAUUACUUUUUUCUGAAUUUACCUUCACAGUUUCAACUAGUGAAAUAUUAAACUAAAUGAGAAGAUUUGGAUGGUUGUUACAUAUCGUUUCAUUAUGUAUCGUAUUGUAUUUAUGUACUGUACUUGUCACUUGGUGAAUACAAUGUUUGUAUGGAUUGUGUCAUUUUACCGUCGUUUCAUGAUAUCACGCACAUGAUGAAUAAACUUACAAUAUUAUAAAGAAAAAUUAUGAUACGGUAUAUAAAAAGGUAGGAUAAAUGAUAAAAUAAAAUUAUUUAAUAAUAAUAAAGGGUAAGAUUAAGAGAAAAAGACAAGGUAACGAUACGACCACACCAAAUCGGCCGUUACAUAAAGUGACACAUUUCAUCGUUAUGUAACGACGGAUUUAACGAUACGAUACAAUAAAAUUUAAGUAACAAUCAAAACAAACAUUGUAUUUAAAGUAACAAUACGAUAAAAUACAAUAAGUAACAAUCAUCCAAACAAGCUGUUAAACAAAUACUUAUGCUAUUAAGCAUAUUAAAGAUCUUUCUUAAAAUUUAUAUAUACAAAUUUUAAAAAACAAAUAAUAAGAACCGAGAGACGUAUCAUCUCAAAAUGUGAUCAAGAAAAUAUCAGAUGAAAUAAAUGUGCAGACAUUUAAAGAAAGUGGUUGGGAGUUUGAUGGCCAGAAAUAUCGUACAAGCAUAUUGAAAAGUGUCUUUUUAACCUAAAUUUCACCUAUCAAAAUAAUUGGACCACCUAUGGAUAUUUUAGGCCUUGGUUUCAUAAAAAGUUUCGGUUGUUUCGUUCGCUUCGAUUAUCUUGUUAUUUUACUGAUAUUACUGCUUGUCGCUAUUGAUUUUUCUUUUUCACUUUUUCUUAAGUUGAUGGACUAUCGAAAAUAGCUUCUCGACCAGCUCAAAGUAGAAAUAAAGUUUGCGUACAUAUUACCCUCCAUAGACUCCACUUGUGAGAUUACACUGAGUUUAUUGUUGUUAUUGGUUUCAUAAAAAAAAUAUUUUGGUUUCUCAUCCGGUGUCCAGUACUCGUAUUGGAGCCCGACUAUAUCCGGAUUCGCACCGUAUAGGGCCACAUUCGAGAGGAAGCGCUCCCUACCAAGGAUUUUUCUAUACCCAGGACUCGAACCCGAGACUUCUGGUUAAGGGAAGAGCAAUCUCAUACAGAGCACCACAUCCUUUGGUGGUUCAUAAAAAGUUGUUUACGUACUAAAGUUUGCCACAUCAAAAGGAUAUAAUAUUAGCCUAUUAGGUGACUCUGUCUUUUUUAGUUUCUCAUCCAGUGUUUGAUAUUCUAUUGAGUUCUCGACUGAUACGAAUUUGUAUUGGUAAGAUAUAUUGAAGAAAAAAAUGUUUCAUAUUCCGAUUUUUUUUAUUCCCAAACUCAAACCAAAAACAUUUAUUUAAGGGUGGAAGCAUCAUAUCCAUCUAACUUGUCACAAGCUUAACUCCAGUAAGCUACGUGCGGACAACUAGACAGCUGUUAUCGGCUUCUAGUUUCAGUCCUAACCCAAAUCAAGCACAAAAUCGUGCUUAAGGAAUGGCGAACGUGCAAUACACAAGGCUGGAAAGAUAAUGAAACGAAAAAGCACACAAAGAAUGGGAGGCCAAGACCAAUUUUCUGGUUUAAUUGAUAUACAAAUAUUUAUGGUAGGUGGCUCUAUCAUUCCAAACUCACUAAUAUCUUGUUAUCAUUUUAAUAUUAUUGUUUAGGUGACACUUUUAUCAUAUCAUAAUCCUACCUUAUUAAUCUCUCUUUUUUAAUAUUAUCUUAUUAUUUUUCUAGUGCUGCAUUUGUUGUUACAUGAGAAUAGUCAAACCUAUAAUCUUUGUUGUUGAAGUUAAACGCUAUCUAAUUACUUGAGACAAUGAGGAAAGGGAUAUAUAGACACUUAAUUAAAGAAAAGAAAAAAUAUGGAAAAUAGUGGGGGGAAAAAACAAAUAGUCUUAGAGCACGUUUGGCCAUAAAAGAAAUUUCACUUUUUCAAAAAAAAAAAAAAAUCGAAAUCGGUGUUUGGCCAUAAUUUUUCAAUUUUCGAAGAUGAAUUUCAGAAUUUUUCGAAAAUUUGAAAAACUCCAAAAAACUAUUUUUCAAAAUUUUCACUCAGAUCAUUCACCAAAAUUCAAAACAACCCAAAAUUAUAUUCACGUCGAAACACAAGACUAAUUUUCAAAUACUAUUCUUACUUGAAAAAAAAAUUCACUUUUUUUUUUUAAAAUUUUACCAUUCUUAUGUCCAAACGCCCACUUAAAAUAUGCAGUUUGAUGAGUGAGGUUUGGUGGUCAAUGCAUGAAAAAAAAUGUAUUUUCAAUAAAAUAAAAUAAAAUGUUGUUUUCUUUCACCGUCAACAAUUUGAUGUGAAUUAAGGAACUAAAAUUUGGAGAAAAAAAAUAUAGAAGGGUAAAAUUAAAAUUAAAAAAAAAGAAGGAAUUAGACACAUACCGAAUAAACAUAGUCAUAAAAUCAGCAAGUUGAGAUACAUGCUCUGCAUUAGCUAUGGUUAAUACCAUAAACAGAAUAAAUCCAAUCAAAUGCCUGUAAAAAAAACAUAUUCAAAACUCCAGAUAAAUAGAUUGCAAUUUAAGCUAUUUAAAAAUGUAAAAUUAAGAAAAAAAACAUGAAAUGAGAUAUACUUACGUCCAGACAUUAAGAGUUUCAUUAUGCCAACGAAAAAUACUGAAAAAAGCUUCUUUGAGAGGCCAAUUAGCUCUGUAAUAAUUCAAUAUAUACUCAUUAUCCUUCAUAUAUUCUGGUAAUUCAUCAUAAGAAAUUAAAGGGUAUUUUUCCCUUUUUCUUAUUCCAUUUUUCUCCAUCUUUUUGCUGUAGCAGUUUCUGUUUGAAUCAAGAUUCUGAUCUUUUUCUUGAUUCGUCAUCUUUAAAUUAAUAUGAUAUUAAUCAUAGAGAGAAAAGAAAGAAGAAGA